rnacentral:rRNA from 1 species
UCAGUUGAGAAAAUUAUGACACAGAAUCUGAUCUCGGAAGCUAAGCAGGGUCGGGCCUGGUUAGUACUUGGAUGGGAGACCACCUAGGAAGACCAGGUGCCUCGCCUAAA